ACUCCAUUAAAUCCCCUCACAAGGGAGACAAACUGCCCACCCACCUCCACUCCCUCAGCCUGUUCCUGGAGUGCACCGCACACUGCCCUCUUUCUUUAAAGCCCCCUCCCCCGUCCUUGCCACCUUCUCACAAGAAAGGAGAGCUGUUGGCAGCAGCUUAGAAUGGUGGUGAUGAUAAGAUGGCUGGUCUAAGCGUUCUCUUGGAAGCACAAAACAACUCGCCAACACACAGCCAUCUCCUCAUAAGCCAAACCUCCCUCGGAAAGAACACCUCUUCUUCCUUCUCUACGAGCUCUUUUCUGGAGCACUGCUUCCUUUGCAGGAGGAGACUACAGGAAGGCAGCGAUAUCUUUAUGUACAGGGGGGAUCGGGCGUUCUGCAGCGAGGAGUGCCGGUGCCGCCACAUGUUUGUAGACGAGGAGAGCCGGAGGGCGGAGCAUUGCUCCUCCGCCGCCCCCGCAUCUGCCGCCGGAAAGGGACGGGCCAGACCCGGUGGUUUCGCGUACUAGUAGUAGUUGCAGCAGCCGCAAGAAGCUGAACUGCGUGUUUCGUGUUAUGACAUAAAUACCCUCUUCUUUUCCUUAAAUUCCCUCCGCCUCGAUCCCUAUCUUAAGGACUUUGCUGUUCAUAUUCUUUUUGGCUGUGUUGUUUAUGCAUUACUUUAAGAAGUGAUUAAGAAGUUGAAAACAAUUAUACUAUUA